UACGGAGGGGGCUAGCGUUGUUCGGAAUUACUGGGCGUAAAGCGCGCGUAGGCGGACCCGCAAGUCGGACGUGAAAUCCCUGAGCUCAACUCAGGAACUGCAUCCGAAACUGCGGGUCUGGAGUGGUGGAGAGGGAAGCAGAAUUCCUGGUGUAGAGGUGAAAUUCGUAGAUAUCAGGAGGAACACCGGUGGCGAAGGCGGCUUCCUGGACACUUACUGACGCUGAGACGCGAAAGCGUGGGGAGCAAACAGG
rnacentral:rRNA from 1 species